rnacentral:rRNA from 1 species
UUGAACGCUGGCGGCAUGCUUUACACCUGCAAGUCGAACGGCAGCGCGGGCUUCGGCCUGGCGGCGAGUGGCGAACGGGUGAGUAAUACAUCGGAACGUGCCCAGUAGUGGGGGAUAGCUCGGCGAAAGCCGGAUUAAUACCGCAUACGACCUGAGGGUGAAAGCGGGGGAUCUUCGGACCUCGCGCUAUUGGAGCGGCCGAUGGCAGAUUAGCUAGUUGGUGGGGUAAAGGCCUACCAAGGCGACGAUCUGUAGCUGGUCUGAGAGGACGACCAGCCACACUGGGACUGAGACACGGCCCAGACUCCUACGGGAGGCCGCAGUGGGGAAUUUUGGACAAUGGGCGAAAGCCUGAUCCAGCAAUGCCGCGUGUGUGAUGAAGGCCUUCGGGUUGUAAAGCACUUUUGGCGGGAACGAAAAGGACUGUGCCAAUACCACGGUUCGAUGACGGUACCCGCAGAAUAAGCACCGGCUAACUACGUG